UAUAUAUUCCCUUCGUCCGGAAUUACUUGUCGCAAAAAUGGAUAAAAAUUGUUGUAUUUAGAACUAAAAUACAUUAUGUACAUCCAUUUCUCCGACAAGUAUUUUCGGACGAAGAGAGUAUAUU
rfam:Triticum aestivum genome assembly, contig: Triticum_aestivum_CS42_TGACv1_scaffold_621834_7DS